AUACAAAUCACUUGGGAUCUUGUUAAAAAUGUAUAUUCUGAUUCUGUAGAUCUGGUUGGGGCCUAAGAUUCUGCAUUUCUAACAAGCUCCCAGGUGACACCCAC
rnacentral:pre_miRNA from 1 species